ACGAACGCUGGCGGCAGGCUUAACACAUGCAAGUCGAGCGCGUAGCAAUACGAGCGGCAGACGGGUGAGUAACGCGUGGGAAUCUACCCAUCACUACGGAAUAACUCAGGGAAACUUGUGCUAAUACCGUAUACGCCCCUCUUUAAAAGAUCAGGAUUUAUUGGGUUCCUGGUUUUUUAUGGGGGGGAAAGAUUUAUCGGUGAUGGAUGAGCCCGCGUUGGAUUAGCUAGUUGGUGGGGUAAAGGCCUACCAAGGCGACGAUCCAUAGCUGGUCUGAGAGGAUGAUCAGCCACAUUGGGACUGAGACACGGCCCAAACUCCUACGGGAGGCAGCAGUGGGGAAUAUUGGACAAUGGGCGCAAGCCUGAUCCAGCCAUGCCGCGUGUGUGAUGAAGGCCUUAGGGUUGUAAAGCACUUUCACCGGAGAAGAUAAUGACGGUAUCCGGAGAAGAAGCCCCGGCUAACUUCGU
rnacentral:rRNA from 1 species